GCUACGCAGGAGAAGCUCGGUGUUCCGCCCGCGUGGUGGAGCCCCUGAGGGAAUCCGGUGAAAUGCCGGAGCCGCCCCCGCGACUGUAUGCGGCGAGCGCGCGUCCGAAAAAGCCACUUGGAUGUCGGUCCGGGGAAGGCGAACGUCGCGCAACGACCCGCAAGCCAGGAGACCUGCCGGGCAUGAUGGAAACCA
rnacentral:ncRNA from 1 species